rnacentral:tRNA from 1 species
AGACGAUAAAUGGAUUUUCUAUGUGCGAUUUCGGCUCGUAAAGAUGUUUCGUUUUUA